UACGUAGGGUGCGAGCGUUAAUCGGAAUUACUGGGCGUAAAGCGUGCGCAGGCGGUUUUUUAAGACAGGCGUGAAAUCCCCGGGCUUAACCUGGGAACCUGCGUUUGUGACUGGAAGGCUAGAGUAUGGCAGAGGGGGGUGGAAUUCCACGGUGUAGCAGUGAAAUGCGUAGAGAUGUGGAGGAACACCGAUGGCGAAGGCAGCCCCCUGGGCCAAUACUGACGCUCAUGCACGAAAGCGUGGGGAGC
rnacentral:rRNA from 1 species